rnacentral:rRNA from 1 species
AGAGUUUGAUCCUGGCUCAGGAUGAACGCGGGCGGCGUGCCUAACACAUGCAAGUCGAUCGAAGCACCUUACCUGAUUCUUCGGAUGAAGGUCUGGUGACUGAGUGGCGGACGGGUGAGUAACGCGUGGGUAACCUGCCCUGUACAGGGGGAUAACAGUUGGAAACGGCUGCUAAUACCGCAUAAGCGCACGAGAGGACAUCCUCUAGUGUGAAAAACUCCGGUGGUACAGGAUGGGCCCGCGUCUGAUUAGCUGGUUGGCAGGGUAACGGCCUACCAAGGCGACGAUCAGUAGCCGGUCUGAGAGGAUGAACGGCCACAUUGGAACUGAGACACGGUCCAAACUCCUACGGGAGGCAGCAGUGGGGAAUAUUGCACAAUGGGGGAAACCCUGAUGCAGCAACGCCGCGUGAGUGAAGAAGUAUUUCGGUAUGUAAAGCUCUAUCAGCAGGGAAGAUAAUGACGGUACCUGACUAAGAAGCUCCGGCUAAAUACGUGCCAGCAGCCGCGGUAAUACGUAUGGAGCAAGCGUUAUCCGGAUUUACUGGGUGUAAAGGGUGCGUAGGUGGCAGUGCAAGUCAGAUGUGAAAGGCCGGGGCUCAACCCCGGAGCUGCAUUUGAAACUGCUCGGCUAGAGUACAGGAGAGGCAGGCGGAAUUCCUAGUGUAGCGGUGAAAUGCGUAGAUAUUAGGAGGAACACCAGUGGCGAAGGCGGCCUGCUGGACUGUUACUGACACUGAGGCACGAAAGCGUGGGGAGCAAACAGGAUUAGAUACCCUGGUAGUCCACGCCGUAAACGAUGAA